rnacentral:rRNA from 1 species
UACAGAGGGGGCAAGCGUUAUUCGGAAUUAUUGGGCGUAAAGAGCUCGUAGGCGGUUUGUCGCGUCUGCUGUGAAAACUGGAGGCUCAACCUCCAGCCUGCAGUGGGUACGGGCAGACUAGAGUGCGGUAGGGGAGAUUGGAAUUCCUGGUGUAGCGGUGGAAUGCGCAGAUAUCAGGAGGAACACCGAUGGCGAAGGCAGAUCUCUGGGCCGUAACUGACGCUGAGGAGCGAAAGCAUGGGGAGCGAACAGG